AAAACGGAAUGGAUAUCACUGGUUCCUUUCAGGAUAUGACAUUUGCAAAUUUUGUGAUUUAAAAAAUUGCACUUGUUAUAUUCUUGAAAGCACCAGAGUAGCACCAAGAUGUCCUUA
rnacentral:precursor_RNA from 12 species